CGUCAUGUCAUUAGGUUGGUGUGGCGGGGAAUCAGGACUGUUACUCUGAAAAAAUUAGAGUGUUUAGAGCAGGCUCGCGCUUGAAUACAUUAGCAUGGAAUAAUGAAAUAGGACGUUUGACCCUAUUUUGUUGGUUUCUAGGAUCGACGUAAUGAUUAAUAGGGAUAGUUGGGGGCAUUAGUAUUCAAUUGUCAGAGGUGAAAUUCUUGGAUUUAUUGAAGACUAACUACUGCGAAAGCAUUUGCCAAGGAUGUUUUCAUUAAUCAAGAACGAAAGUUAGGGGAUCGAAGACGAUCAGAUACCGUCGUAGUCUUAACCAUAAACUAUGCCGACUAGGGAUCGGAUGAUGUUAAUUUUUUAAUGACUCAUUCGGCGCCUUACGGGAAACCAAAGUGUUUGGGUUCCGGGGGGAGUAUGGUCGCAAGGCUGAAACUUAAAGGAAUUGACGGAAGGGCACCACCAGGGGUGGAGCCUGCG
rnacentral:rRNA from 1 species